rnacentral:tRNA from 1 species
GCUGGCGUAGCUCAGCCGGUAGAGCAGCGGUUUCGUAAACCGCAGGUCGUCAGUUCGAUCCUGACCGCCAGCU